rnacentral:RNase_P_RNA from 1 species
UGCCGGGUUCAUAUAACCUGAGGAAAGUCUCCCCACCGCUAAACACGAGCACCUGUAAAGGGUGCCGGGCGAGAGCUCGGGCAGUUAACAGAUAAUGUUAACCAUGCAAACAGUGCAUGCUGGCACAGAAACGAUACCAGUGCAUGUUAAUGCUAUGAUGCCGAAAGGCUGAGGUCGCAUGCAUCCUGGAUGGAACGGCGAAUCCUCGUGGGUGCAAGUCGGUGAAGAGCAAAUAUGUUGCUCUUCCCAUUUAUUGACGCUAAGCUGAAUGCCGCCAUUGCAAGUA